CGUCGCGGGUUCGUAGUUUUGAGAGAUAUCUUCGAGCUAUCCCCCUACCUGGCGCGCCAACUGUUGAUGCACGAAUCACACAAGUACGAAAAUGGGAUCUCUAGGGAAGGAAGAAGAAUCUUUCUAUUAAUGACGAGCCCGCGACUUAGGCGAAUUGGACGGAUUACAAAGGAUGAUUUCUUCAACGAGCAUAAAUGGAGUAAGAACGAGCCGAUUGUAGAUGAAAGACGAGCUUGAGGCCGGAAGACGAUCUUGAUGUCCGAGGAAGAAUAGAGUUUAUUCGUUUUAUAGCUGAACCUUGUAAAAGGUUGCCUACGUACCCUUAGAAAGGGAUCAAGCCACACGUAGUUCAUAUUAGAAUAAGUGAGCUAGGCCAUCGUUGGAGGUAGGUCGGCAGGUAGGUGACGAGCCGGCAGAUGUGCGAUGAG
rnacentral:sRNA from 1 species